CCUACGGGGGGCAGCAGUGAGGAAUAUUGGUCAAUGGACGAGAGUCUGAACCAGCCAAGUAGCGUGAAGGAUGACUGCCCUAUGGGUUGUAAACUUCUUUUAUAUGGGAAUAAAACGUUCCACGUGUGGGAUUUUGUAUGUACCAUAUGAAUAAGGAUCGGCUAACUCCGUGCCAGCAGCCGCGGUAAUACGGAGGAUACGAGCGUUAUCCGGAUUUAUUGGGUUUAAAGGGAGCGUAGGUGGAUUGUUAAGUCAGUUGUGAAAGUUUGCGGCUCAACGGUAAAAUUGCCGUUGAAACUGGCAGUCUGGAGUACAGUAGAGGUGGGCGGAAUUCGUGGUGUAGCGGUGAAAUGCUUAGAUAUCACGAAGAACUCCGAUUGCGAAGGCAGUUCACUGGACUGCAACUGACGCUGAGGCUCGAAAGUGUGGGUAUCAAACAGGAUUAGAUACCCGAGUAGUC
rnacentral:rRNA from 1 species